CCUACGGGAUGCAGCAGUGAGGAAUCUUGGUCAAUGGGCGGAAGCCUGAACCAGCCAAGUCGCGUGAGGGAUUAAGGCCCUGCGGGUCGUCAACCUCUUUUGCCGGGGAGCAGAGGUCCGGCAGUGUCCGGGCCGGGCGAGUGCCCGGAGAAAAAGCAUCGGCUAACUCCGUGACAGCAGCCGCGGUAAUACGGAGGGUGCCAGCGAUAUCCGGAUUUAUGGUGUUAAAAGUGUUCGUAGGCGGGCAUUUAAGCCGGCGGUCAAAUGUCGGGGCUCAACCCCGGCCUGCCGUCGGAACUGGGUGCCUUGAGUGGGCGAGAAGUAGGCGGAAUGCGUGGUGUAGCGGUGAAAGGCAUAGAUAUCACGCAGAACCCCGAUGGCGAAGGCAGCAUACCGGCGCCCUACUGACGCUGAGGCACGAAAGUGCGGGUAUCGAACAGGAUUAGAUACCCUGGUAGUC
rnacentral:rRNA from 1 species